CCAAGGAAGGCAGCAGGCGCGCAAAUUACCCACUCCCGACUCCGGUGAGGUAGUACUGAAAAAUAACAAUCACAGAGCACUGCGUCUUCGAGGCCCUGCUAAGUUGGAAUGAGUACACGUUUAAAUCCUCUUAACGAGGAUCGUAUUCGGAAGGCAAGCUCUGGCURCGACGAGGCGACGGCGCGUCUAAACUCUCACUCUCUAUCUCCGCACUGCGGGGAGGUAGUGACGAAGAAUAACAAGUACANUGGAGCUGUCGGCUUAAUUUGACUCAACACGGGAAACUCACUGGUCCGGACAUGAAAAGGAUUGACAGAUUGAUAGCUCUUUCUGAUUCUAUGGGUGGUGGUGCAUGGCCGUUCUUAGUUGGUGGAGAUGAUUUGUCUGGUUAAUUCCGUUAACGAAACGAGACCUUUACCAUGCUAACUAGGGNUACCCUUGCUUGACUAGCUUCUCUGCGUAAACCUCUCUGUGGCUGAUGAUAGUUCUCGAGCACGACUACUACCGAAUCAUAUUAGUUAAGAAGUGAGCGAUUACUAGAUCGUGUGUGAUACGUUAAUUCAGUCGACAUGCGUAUAUAAGAUCAUGUGAGAGAAGACUAGACUCAUAACGAUGUAGAUGCCUGCUGAGUGCACUCCUAUGACGUAUGCGCUCUCGGACGUGUCAAUCCGGCUACGACUCUUAGGCCCUAUCUAGUACACACCGCCCGUCGCUCCUACCGAUUGACUCGAUCCGUAAAUUAUUUCCGUACUNGUUUUGUAAACUCUCAAUCACACCUCUUGACGAUGUGCAAUAGGAGAGAGUGCUGUAACAUACGGUUUUCCUGUAUUUUCCGAGAUCCGUGCAGACACUGGCAAUCAA
rnacentral:rRNA from 1 species